rnacentral:misc_RNA from 1 species
GCUUCUAGAAUUGAAAACCAGGAUGCAAUUGAUGCUUCAAUUGUUGGGAUGUUGAGCGAUCCUAAGGAGGCAAGGGCAGGACUUACCGAGGUGCAUUUCUUGCCUUUUAACCCUGUGGACAAGCGCACGGCAAUCACUUACAUUGACAACAAUGGUGAUUGGCGUAGAUGCAGUAAGGGGGCUCCUGAGCAGAUUAUUGAUCUAUGUGAACCCAUGGGGGAGGUGAAGGAAAAGGCCCACAAAAUCAUAGACAACUUUGCUGACCGUGGCCUUCGAUCUCUUGCUGUUGCUCGUCAGAUUGUUCCAGAGAAGACCAAGGAAAGCACAGGAGGACCAUGGGAGUUUGUGGGUCUUUUGCCUCUCUUUGAUCCUCCAAGGCAUGA